CCUACGGGUGGCAGCAGUAGGGAAUCUUUCACAAUGGGCGAAAGCCUGAUGGAGCAACGCCGCGUGCAGGAUGAAGGCCUUCGGGUUGCAAACUGCUUUUAUAAGCGAGAAAUAUGAUGGUAACUUAUGAAUAAGGAUCGGCCAACUACGUGCCAGCAGCCGCGGUCAAACGUAUGAUCCGAGGAUUAUCCGGAGUAUCUGGGGGUAAAGAGUUGCGUAGGUGGGAUAAUGAGUAGCUAGUGAAAACUGGUGGCUCAACCAUUCAGACUAUUGGCUAAACUGUUAAGCUCGAGACCGUUAGGGGUAACUGGAAUUUCUAGUGUAGGGGUGAAAUGCGUAGAUAUUAGAAGGAACACCAAUGGCGAAGGCAGCUUGCUGGGACGGUUCUGACGCUGAGGCACGAAAGCGUAGGGAGCAAACGGGAUUAGAUACCCCUGUAGUC
rnacentral:rRNA from 1 species